rnacentral:tRNA from 1 species
GGGGUUGUAGCUCAGUGGUAGAGCACUUGCCCCACACACAUGAGGUCCAAGGUUCAAUCCUCAGCACCA